rfam:Morus notabilis contig10894, whole genome shotgun sequence.
AAAUGAAACGUCAUUGAGUGCAGCGUUGAUGAAUGUUCAAUUUAGAAGUGAUUUCCAAUCUUCAUGGUUGGCUUUGGCUUUGGGAAAUUUUCGUCAGCGCUGCACUCAAUUAUGUUUCUA